CACACGGAUCCAAAUGCGUCUGGACACCUUGGCGACACACUCGCGCAGAUGGGGUAACUGAAGCUUACAGAACAGCAAUUUGACCCCUGCAGUCACACAGCUACGAGCAGGGCCAAGAUCUGCACCCGGGCAGGCGGAGCUCAGAGACAGCACACGCCUCCAUCACUUUGCUGAUCAACAUGGAAGACACAGGAGGCGUCUAAAGUAUGGAAUUUUCUACUGCUGUAAGGAACUUGGGGGCAAGGAUCAUGCCUUACUCAUCAUUGUUUCCCUAGUGCCUGGCAUGUGGAGAGUGCUCAAUAACAAUUUUUGAGUGAAUAAAUCUACAUACAUCAAACAAUAAACAAGGAAAGACCAUGUGAAGCCACAGUGAGAAGGUAGCCACCUGCCAGCAAGGAAGUGAGCUCUCACCAGAAACUGAGCACUGUCAGAAACUCGAUCUUGGGCUUCCAGCCUCCAGAACUGUGAG
rnacentral:lncRNA from 1 species